rnacentral:rRNA from 1 species
UACGUAGGGCGCAAGCGUUGUCCGGAAUUAUUGGGCGUAAAGAGCUCGUAGGCGGUUUGUUACGUCCGCUGUGAAAACCCAGGGCUUAACCCUGGGCUUGCAGUGGAUACGGGCAGACUAGAGGUAGGUAGGGGAGAAUGGAAUUCCCGGUGUAGCGGUGAAAUGCGCAGAUAUCGGGAGGAACACCGGUGGCGAAGGCGGUUCUCUGGGCCUUACCUGACGUUGAGGAGCGAAAGCGUGGGGAGCGAACAGG